rnacentral:rRNA from 1 species
UGGGGAAUAUUGGACAAUGGGCGAAAGCCUGAUCCAGCCAUGCCGCGUGUGUGAAGAAGGUCUUCGGAUUGUAAAGCACUUUAAGUUGGGAGGAAGGGCAUUAACCUAAUACGUUAGUGUUUUGACGUUACCGACAGAAUAAGCACCGGCUAACUCUGUGCCAGCAGCCGCGGUAAUACAGAGGGUGCAAGCGUUAAUCGGAAUUACUGGGCGUAAAGCGCGCGUAGGUGGUUUGUUAAGUUGUAUGUGAAAUCCCCGGGCUCAACCUGGGAACUGCAUUCAAAACUGACUGACUAGAGUAUGGUAGAGGGUGGUGGAAUUUCCUGUGUAGCGGUGAAAUGCGUAGAUAUAGGAAGGAACACCAGUGGCGAAGGCGACCACCUGGACUAAUACUGACACUGAGGUGCGAAAGCGUGGGGAGCAAACA